CCCUGUGAGAGAGGCGAGAGAGACUGCUCUUCAAGUGGCCAGGAACAGGCAUGAGGGGCAGGGGAGUAAGGUGGUGACCCCUGACUAACCACUGGAGGCAGUACUGAGCACCAGGCGCAUGCACACAGCAUUGCUGCUUGCAUUCCAUACCCUCUCCACACAGCACAGGACCUGCUCUGACCCCAGCUCCUGAGGUCAUUGCACUUCUCUAUGUGGCUCAUGUUUGACGUGUGGGAGAUGUCGAGUGGACUGAUCUCCUCCCCAGCCAGCCUGGAAUGUGUGCCCGUUCGUAUCCAUUCGCAUUUCACCCCCACGUGUGUCACUUACACAUACGCUCUGUCCUCAGCCAGGUUCUGUGUAGACAGAGCUGAAGGCUACUAAGAGGACACAGGGUGGGAUGAGGUGGUCAGAGGGCUUCCUACAGGUUCAUUUAUGGCCUUUAGGAGGCAAUGAAUCUCUUUGGGCCCCUGUUGUUUUCCAAGUCAAGGUUUCUCUGUAUAGCCCUGGUUGUCCAGGAAAUCACUCUGUAGACCAGGCUGGCCUCAAACUCACAGAGAUCUGCCUGCCUCUGCCUCCUGAGUGCACACGGCACCACUGCCCAGCCCCCCUUAAUCAUUUCAGUUCGACACUGCCCCUGCAUAGUGACCUAGAAGCCACUAGGCAGUCCAGGCUAAGCUAAAUCCUCUCAAUGCUGCUGGCCUUAGCCCCAGUGUGCUGGCAGUGCAGGCAGGCACCACCACACCUGGCUCCAGGACUAAUACACAGAAAGAAGUUUCCAGUGAUAGUUCUGGCUGGGGAUACAGCUCAGUGGGAGAGCUGACUCGCAUGUGUGAGUUUCUGGGUUCAGUCCUCAGUACUCGAAAGAGAAAAGGAGGACUCGGAUGGCGCGGACUCCCUUCCAGCUGUUUCUGACCCAGAUGCUGCUGCUGCUGCUGCUUACGGUAAUUAGACAAGAGCCCCGAGAGUCCACUGCCCUCCUAGGUUAACUGUGAUUUAACCUUCUCCCCGGGUCUGCUUACAAGCUCUAUCCAAGAGGAAACCCUUGGAUUACAUACAGGCUGGAGCCUACGUUUUCACCAGCAGCAUGCUGGCUUCUGGUCACCAUAAGAACAUGGGCUACUCAGUGAACUACAGAAUGUCAACUUAAAAAAUUAACAAGUGAAGCAAGGACAGAGAGGCCAGAGAACUUUCUUUAUGCGGAUUCCAUACCUGUGCCACUGGCCACUGGUACAGCGGUGGCGAAGUACACCUGCUCCACUUUCGAUGCUUGCUGCUGAGGGAAACACAACAAAAUCACAUCAACGGCCACUCUAACAGGGCAACCAUCUCAGGCUCCAAAGCCCAGCUGUAGUGCUCACCCAAGAAGACAGACCCCUCAGUGUUCCGGCUUCUUGUUUGUGCACUGACUGAUAUGAGAUCACUGGCCUGUUUGACACUCCACGCUGACAUUAUUGCUAGCUCUGUCCCUGUUACUUCUCUCCUCCCAGCAGCUGCUUAGUCCACUGGACUCUAUGUGUCCAGAGACCCCUUCAAGGUUGCUUUUCUUAAACGAUGGCCUUCUCAGAGAGAGGUCUGGGAUGCUUUUGUCCUCCCCGAUUCUCCUGUGAAAGCUAUAAUGUUCCUCCCCCCCCCCCCCCCAAUAACACCCUUCCCCAGGGCCUAGAGUGCUCACCGCUCACCCAGGGCAGCCUAAGGUUAUCCAUCAUAAGCACACAGGAACUCCAAGGCUCAGGACAGUCCCACUGUGGAUCUUGGGACUUGGCUAACCGAGAUUCAUGUCUAGUGAUUUGGACUUUGUCAUGUGUUUUUGUUCUGUCUUUUGAGACAAGUUCUCACUAUAUAACCCAGGCUGGCCAUGAACUUCGGAUACACUUGCCGCUACCUCCCAAGCUGAGACCAUAGCCAAGUGAUUUCACUUAUUAGAUCCACAGCUCCCUGUAGAAGCUGGGGUGAUAACGCAAGAGCCUCUCAAAGACUCUGAAGAUGAAUGAGCUGGUACAGAACACUCAGCUUAGAGCAGCCAGUAGAUAUCAGCCUCUGAACUGUUACCAUCAAGACCAUAAACUGUGCACAGGCAUACAGUACGCAUGAGGCUAGAAGCUCAAGGCUAGCCUUAGCUACAUAGUGAGUUUGAGAUCAGACCUAACGCAAGAUAGCCUCAUCUCAAAAAAAAUGGAACAACAACAACAACAACAACAAAAAAAAAAACAAACUAAAACCAAACAACAACAAAAAUCCUAAACAAGCCAGGCGUGGUGGCGCACGCCUUUAAUCCCAGCACUUGGGAGGCAGAGGCAGGCAGAUUUCUGAGUUCGAGGCCAGCCUGGCCUAGAGAGUGUGUUCCAGGACAGCCAGGGCUACACACAGAAACCCCUGUCUCGAAAAACCAAAAAAAAAAAAAAAAAAAAAAAAAAAGCAAAAAUCCUAAACAAGCCAACCUGUAUUAGAACUCUACUGUACUUCCUACUAUAUUGAAGGGUUUCUAGGGGUUGGAGAGAUGGCUCUGCACUUAGGAGCAUUGGUUGUUCUUCCAGAGGACCAGAGUUCAAUUCCCAGCAUCUACAUGGCAGCCUCUAUCUCUAGUUCCAGGGGACCCAAUGCCAUCUGCUGGCCUCCACCGGCACUGCACACAUGUGGUAUAUAGACAUACAUACAAGCAAAACACCCAUUCACAUAAAAAUAUUAAUAUUUUUGUAUUUUUCAAGUCUUGUCUUAAAGGGGCAUCCUUUUUUGUUUGUUUGUUUUUGAGACAGGGUUUCUCUGGCUGUCCUAGAACUUUACUAGCUCUGUAGACCAGGCUGGCCUUAAGCGCACAGAGAUCUGCCUGCCUCUGUCCCCCAAGAACUGAGAUUAAAGUCAUGCACCAUCUCCUGGCUCUAGGGGACCUUCCUUCCUUCCUCCCUUCCUCCCUUCCUUCCUUCCUUCCUCUCCCUCUCUCCUAUUUAAAACACACAAAAUAUGCUGGGUGAGUGUAGGGAGAACUCUGACUUCUGGCUACGAUGCAGACAGAACUGAUGCAAGGCUGCAGUGCAGCUCAGUAGUAGAGCAGCUGCACUGGCUUAGUCCCCAACACGGGAA